UCCCUACUAGUAUAAUGGAUUGCGUCUCCCUUUAAAGGAGAAGAUUCUGGUUCAAGUCCAGAGUAGGGAU
rnacentral:tRNA from 1 species